CGAGGCUGUAGAGCAAGUUUUUCUUGAUUUCAUGGUACAGAUUUCAAGGCUGCUUCCUGCAGGGCUGUCCAGUGUGAAUGUGAUCCCCCUAUUCACCUGUAGAGCUGUUCUGAAGUCUUCAUGAGAAGUGAGAGCCAAGCAGUGCCUAGAAGUGGUUUUAAAAGAUGCAGAUCAGCCACUGCCCCCGUCCUUUCCUCUUCAAGAUCUAUGUUCUGUUUACUGGAAAAUAGUUGGCGGUCAGUCACAGGAUGCACCACACUGCAUUCCUCUUCUGACAUGUGGAACUUGUUUGGUACCAUAAUGCAGCAGCUGGAGACACUUUUCUUAGAGAUAGCAGAGCUCAUGAUGGUGAUCUGAUUUGAAAUUUUUUGGCACGGCACCUCUUCCACUCUGCCACCAUAAACUGACAGAGCUAAGCAUCCCUCUCCUUCAAACAGCAAAAAAUGCAGGAAAGAGGACAAGCUUCCACCAAAAUGUUUGAGCCCAGACUAGAGCAAAAUGAGACCCAAAUAUGAAAGAACCCAUGACAAACCUAAAGGUCUCAGACAAAAUCCUCAGCUGGUGCAAAUAAAUGACAUCUUUUUGACUUCAGUGGAGGUACUCCAGUACAUGCCAGUGAUGAUCAGGAAUACGGAAGAAAAGCAUUGCAAGAGCCAUGAAGAAAAC